GGUUAUAUAUACAUCCCAAAUCUCUAGUUGUUACAUACACAAAACGCAUCGAGAUUAGUAGAUAGAUUAGCAUUGUUAUAAUGGCAAAAUUAACCAUGGCAAAGUUUUUUUCACUUUUUCUUUUGGUUUCAGUGAUGAGAAGUGAAGUGGGUGCGGAUCAAAGAGUCUUUGAAUGUCGGCGUGAGUUUUGGAACAUGGAUAACUGCGUACGUGAAUUUUGCGAGGAGCUUUGUGUGAAGAACAAAGGGGAUUCUGAAAAUGCAGCAGAUGUAUGGUCAGAGUGCCACGGAUCUCGCUCUUGUUUUUGCCAAUAUUGGUGCUUUGUAACCGGCGAGAAAAUAUAGUAAUAAUGACCAUAAUAAUAAGUUGUGUCUAUGAUAAUAAUUCAAGUGGUGACUGGAGAAAUAGUAAUUUGCCGUAAAGAGGAACUGUUGGAACUUGAUGACUGCGAAUUUGGAACUUGCAAAGAGUUGUGUUUAGAGAGGGGCAGAGGGCCAUGGAUUUGAAAAUUGUAGUUGCAAAUAUUAUUGCCCACAAUGGAACCAAAAAAAAAAAAUACAUAUUUAAAUAAUUAGUUCUACUAGGUUACUUUUGUUUAUGAGAAUAGGACAAUAUGAAAAAUAAAAUAAGAGAUUGAGAAUAAAAUAU